CUUUUCUGAAAUCAGGCGAAAAUGAGCGCGUGGAUGUCAUCCAUAAAAUUUACUUGCUGUGGCCUUAUCUUGUGAAAGAAGGGCUGAGCCCCGUAGAGACUCACAGUGAGCACUAGAGACGGGUCGUGUUCCCGAGAUGCCGCCACAACUGUGUCAACUGUGUUUGGACUAUUUUAACUCCUCAGAGUCGGAUAAUGACCAGGAAACGCGCUGAAGUUUGGGCACUGGGUGUCCAACCUGUCAGUGGCUUUUCAAGAAUUUCCAGAACCGUAAGGACCCCUUGUACAAGACAGACGACUUCGCGGUCGUCCCGGCAGGGUCCAACGAUGGUCAAGAGAUGGUACCCUAGUUUGUGAAGGUCAUCACCACCUACCAGGACAAACAGCGCCUGAAACUCCGUGCCAAACAACGACGGGGUGUAUGUGAGGGAGUCGAUUGAGAACAAGCCUCUCGAAGAAUACACUGCCAAGUAUGAGGAGAUCGUCGCUGUACAUCUGUCACAAGAUAAGACACGUACUCCACUGGCCGGCUGACUCCCCUAAUGUACUAUAGACUCUAUUUGUCCACUUUCUACAAUUAGGUCACCGAUCCGCGGAGCCUGGUAGAGGCUAGUAGCAGAGAUAGAGAGGGCCUGGAACGCCAUGAAACAGGCCAUGGGAUUUAAUGAUGUACUUAUUCCACUACGAAAUGUCUUGCCUGGAUUGGUGAUUGGAGCAUAAAAUAAUUCGGUUGCUUGACGUAACAGACUGAAACAAGACUAUGGUGUGUGGUAAUAAUGAUAUUCCUAUGUCUUUUUUCAAGUACACCUGUGUUGUCAAAAUGUGGGGUAACACAAUUAGGAAAGACCUACAUCCGGUUCUCAGGAGGAAGGUUUUCCAAAAUUGCAUUUCUAUUUGGAUGUCUAAAUCUCCUUGCGGGAAAUAUAACUUUCUACAUACGCGUGUCCAGUGUCCAAGAAAGUACAACAUUGACUUCUUCAGUGUAGUGUGACGCUUUUCAUGAUGCUAUUAAUGUAGUGUAAUAGCAAUACUGUCAAUGUUGACAUUCAUUGUAGCAUAUCAGUUGAAUACAAAACUAAAAACUUUGAUAGGACCGCU